GGGGCUGCUGGGCUUUGGCCUUCCCCUUCUCGCUGUUUGAGCUGAGAGCAGGCAGGCCACGUGCAGUACCUCUGAAGCCCGAGGCUCAUUGUGUCUGCUGCGCCCGGCUGAAGGGGGCAGGUCUGAGGCAUCAGCUGCCUUCUGCUGAAGCUGUCCUGUACACGGGCCUUCCUGUGAACGGGGCGAAGCCAGCACGUCCUUACCGUGUGUACACAGGUGGUCAGGAAGACCCGCUGUCUGGUGAGGCAGCUUUGGUGGUUGAACAGGUGCAGGCGAGGGGCCCCCGCAUGGUUGUCGAUCGACGGAUUGGUGAUUAACUCACCUCCAAGGAACGUAGAGGAACCAUUAAGAUAAUUUCCUCAAGCAAAGAUUGCUUUCUGACAAGUGCAUCACUUUUUUCCUUCCAAGAUUUUGGGUGUUUGGUCUUUAUUGAGGCAACGUAUGAAAAUGGUUUUUAUCUUUUCAACACAUUUACCGUGAGUAUCAGACUCCCUGUGGAGGGAAAUAAAAAUCGAUGUGUUGUUUCUGGGCAUUUUAGAGAACAUGAGGUAGACACCCUCGUGAGUGGCUAACGUGGCGCCUUCGCAUCCUUCCGUGGAGCGCGAGGGAGAGAGCUGGCGGGUUUCUCAGCCAUCGUUGCUGGUGCGUCUGGGCUGGCCUUGACUGGGAAAGGCUGCUAAGAGCAGGUCUGGGCUCCUGGAGCAGUGGGCUCGGCUUCUCUGCUCUCUGAGGCGAGGGGAAGUCGUGUUCAGCUCUGGGUUUUGUAACAGCCUCUGUUUAUUCCCUUUAUGUGUAUUUGACAACAUAUGAAAGAAAUACAUAGUUUUCUGCCUAGGGUUGCCCCGAUUUCUGUGAUCACCAGACAUCUCUGAGCUGUAGGAGGGCUGCUGGAGUCCUUGGGAACACAAGUCGGGAAUGUCUGCAGCAGCAGGAAGCUGAGGCUGCCGUGGCGCCUCCUCAUGGGCUGGCGUGGGCCUGGAGUUCCUCCUCGCUCACCUCCCAGAGUCUGCACUGGGCCCCGCUCUUAGACAGUGGCGUACCUGCUGGGAGGUGUUUAAUGGACAUUGUUAGCUGCCCAAAUGCUGUGAGAAGUCAGACGUGCUACCCAGCCCAUCAGCUGGCCUGCUGCCGUGAGGUUAAAUCCAACUGGUGCCUGGAGUUCGAGAAUCAGAGCUAGGUUUUUCUGUGCUUUUUGAGAACUGUUUUGUCAGUGAGGUUCUUACGGGAAGUGUCUUGUCUAGACCUGGCAGGGCCUUGCUGUCUUCUCUGUGACAGUCCCUCCUAGUCAGUGAAACCUUGGUGCUCACAGGACAGUCCCUCGUAGUUUGUCCUCUACAGAGUCAACCUGAGCGACCCCCAGAGGAAGGAGAUGGCAGAACGUAGCAGUAACUGAUGCUGUGUCCUGAUGCGCCAGUAGCAGCCUCAUUGGGCUCUCCGUCGCGCCCCCAAGACGUUCCCGCCUAGGAGCGAAGCUGCUUACUUUUCAUGAUGCAAAGGAGAUAAAUUUCAUGAUCUAGGAGUACAGGUUGGUCGUUACGGGACCGGGAGGGGCUCGCACGUACCUGGAAGCAAAGCAAAGUUGCUGAAGACUUUCCGCAGCUUUCUUGCCUUGCCUGUGCUGCCCCCGAGACCACUUGUUUGCUCAAGGUAGAAAAUGGAGGGACGCGUCCCUUAAACUGUAGCAGAUCUUUAAGAAAACCAUGUGUACAACACUUUGGUCGGCUGGGCUUCUCUUGUUUUUAAUUUGCUUUUAAAUUUAAAACUGCCCUAUACCAGACUAGUGUCCUACCCAAACUGACAUUGAACCAAGCUCUCUUGAACACCUGGUUUCCUUCCUGCGGUGUAAGGGCCGCUUACACUGCCUUCAGAAAGAAUGGCGGGACCCAGGCUCCAUCUUUGGCGUCUUGACCCUUGUAGAAUCCCAUCGUGCUUUCUGGAUGAAGUGAGAUGAGAUGUGAUUCAGGCCGCGUCUGCUCCUGGUGUCCCUUUUGUUCAGACGUGGCUCUCCAGCAGGGUGGGUGGAGGGCAGGUUGGAGAGUGUGAAGGAUUGUGGACGUGUUACAAUAAAGUGACAAAUGUCAUUGGAGGUUAGUUUUGACUCUGGGUGGGGCGGGGUGACAGAGACUGGCCUUUAGUCUUUGCUUUGAUCCUUGAGGGCUCCCUGGGACCCUGCCCCAGAUUUGAUACAGCUCGUCUUUUUCCAGUUUCGCACAGCUCUGUGCUCCAGGCUUUCCUUGUGUUCUGGCUCCCCCACCCCAGUGGAGCAGAGCUGAUCUGUAAGUUCUGUGAAAUUUGAAAAGAAGAAUCAAACCAUUGUUACACUGGUGGAGCUUUUGUUACGCAGGUUUCAUUAAGAGACUGGGACUCUCACGGGUUUUUCAGGGUCCAGCUACAUUUUCAUUAGCCCUGCGCCGCCCAGGCCUCUGUGACCCCCACCUCGGGCUGCCUCUCUGCCUAGACCUGUCCCCACCCACGAAGGGGGCAGAGACUUGAAAAGUGACAGGAUGGGAUAUUCAAGGCCCGAGUGGGCACUGGGUGUUAUUGGGGUCUGUGGCCCUGUGUUUGACCUGUGCAGGGAGGGAGGGAGCCGCGGGGGGCGGGGGGCACGCUGGGGCCGAAGGCCCCCAGUGUGCCAUGAAGGGGCCAUCAGGUCACCUUUCUUAUGCUGAGAAGGACGGAGUGCCUUCCUGGAGCUGAGCUCAUUAUGUGCAAAUCUGUGGGCUGAGGCCCAGACCUCAUUUCUGGGCCGCUGCAGGCCUCUGCACAGGACACUGAGAUGGAGACCAGCUGGUGCCACGUGGUGUCUGGGCCUCAGCCUGGCUCAGAGAGGAAGACCAGCUUUGCCUCCUAAGUCUGGUUUUACACGUGGGCCCCGUUUUUACUAGAACCGUUUUGAAGUGUAAAUGGAAAGUGCUUGCCUACUCUUCGGGUGAGUGCCGGUGUGCAGAAAAUACCCGUUCCUCCUCCUCUGGGGGAGAGUAUUGUGAACUCGGACCUUCGGGUUUGCCCCAGUUGCCACUUACUCUUCUGUGUCCUCCU